rnacentral:rRNA from 1 species
GGCGYGCUUAACACAUGCAAGYCGAACGCUGAAGCUUGGUGCUUGCACUGGGUGGMUGAGUGGCGAACGGGUGAGUAAUACGUGAGUAACCUGCCCUUGACUCUGGGAUAAGCCUGGGAAACUGGGUCUAAUACUGGAUACGACAUGUCACCGCRUGGUGGUGUGUGGAAAGGGUUUUACUGGUUUUGGAUGGKCUCACGGCCUWUCASCUUGUUGGUGGGGUAAUGGCUCACCARGGCGACGACGGGUAGSCGGCCUGAGAGGGUGACCGGCCACACUGGGACUGAGACACGGCCCAGYCUCCUACGGGAGGCAGCAGUGGGGAAUAUUGCACMAUGGGCGAAAGCCUGAUGCAGCGACGCCGCGUGAGGGAUGACGGCCUUCGGGUUGUAAACCUCUUUCAGCACGGAAGAAGCGAAAGUGACGGYACGUGCAGAAGAAGCGCCGGCUAACUACGUGCCAGCAGCCGCGGUAAUACGUAGGGCGCAAGCGUUGUCCGGAAUUAUUGGGCGUAAAGAGCUCGUAGGCGGUUUGUCGCGUCUGCUGUGAAAGCCCGGGGCUUAACCCCGGGUGUGCAGUGSKUACGGGCAGACUUGAGUGCAGUAGGGGAGACUGGAAUUCCUGGUGUAGCGGUGAAAUGCGCAGAUMUCAGGAGGAACACCGAUGGCGAAGGCAGGUCUCUGGGCUGUUACUGACKCUGRGAGCGAAAGCAUGGGGAGCGAACAGGAUUAGAUACCCUGGUAGWCCAUGCCGUAAACGUUGGGCACUAGGYGUGGKGAACAUUCCAYGUUUUUCCGCGCGUAGCUAACGCAUUAMGUGACCCSGCUGGAGAGUACCGGCGCAGGCUAAACUCRAGUAUGACGGGGUCC